GUCCACGCCGUAAACGAUGAGUGCUAGGUGUAGAGGGUAUCGACCCCUUCUGUGCCGCAGUUAACACAAUAAGCACUCCGCCUGGGGAGUACGGCCGCAAGGUUGAAACUCAAAGGAAUUGACGGGGGCCCGCACAAGCGGUGGAGCAUGUGGUUUAAUUCGACGCAACGCGAAGAACCUUACCAGGGCUUGACAUCCUACGAACUUUCUAGAAAUAGAGAGGUGCCCUUCGGGGAGCGUAGAGACAGGUGGUGCAUGGUUGUCGU
rnacentral:rRNA from 1 species